AUGAACGCUGGCGGCGUGCCUAAUACAUGCAAGUCGAGCGAACAGACGAGGAGCUUGCUCCUCUGACGUUAGCGGCGGACGGGUGAGUAACACGUGGAUAACCUACCUAUAAGACUGGGAUAACUUCGGGAAACCGGAGCUAAUACCGGAUAAUAUAUUGAACCGCAUGGUUCAAUAGUGAAAGACGGUUUUGCUGUCACUUAUAGAUGGAUCCGCGCCGCAUUAGCUAGUUGGUAAGGUAACGGCUUACCAAGGCCACGAUGCGUAGCCGACCGGAGAGGGUGGUGGGCCAAAGUGGCACAGAGACGCGGCCCAGACACCGGCGGGGGGAAGCGGUAGGGAUUCUCCCGGAAGGGGCAAAGGCCGAAGGGGGCACCGCGGGGGGAGUAAUGAGGUUCUUAGAAUCUAAAACCUUUUUAAUUAGGAAAGAAAAAAUGUGUAAGUAACUAUGCGCGUCUUGAGGGUACAUAAUCAAAAAGCCACGGCUAACUCCGUC
rnacentral:rRNA from 1 species